UGGGGAAUUUUGGACAAUGGGCGAAAGCCUGAUCCAGCAAUGCCGCGUGUGUGAAGAAGGCCUUCGGGUUGUAAAGCACUUUUGUCCGGAAAGAAAUCCUUGGCUCUAGUACAGUCGGGGGAUGACGGUACCGGAAGAAUAAGCACCGGCUAACUACGUGCCAGCAGCCGCGGUAAUACGUAGGGUGCAAGCGUUAAUCGGAAUUACUGGGCGUAAAGCGUGCGCAGGCGGUUUGCUAAGACCGAUGUGAAAUCCCCGGGCUCAACCUGGGAACUGCAUUGGUGACUGGCAGGCUAGAGUAUGGCAGAGGGGGGUAGAAUUCCACGUGUAGCAGUGAAAUGCGUAGAGAUGUGGAGGAAUACCGAUGGCGAAGGCAGCCCCCUGGGCCAAUACUGACGCUCAUGCACGAAAGCGUGGGGAGCAAACAGGAUUAGAUACCCUGGUAGUCCACGCCCUAAAACGAUGUCAACUAGUUGUUGGGGAUUCAUUUCCUUAGUAACGUAGCUAACGCGUGAAGUUGACCGCCUGGGGAGUACGGUCGCAAGAUUAAAACUCAAAUGAAUUGACGGGGUCAUAGCUGUUUCC
rnacentral:rRNA from 1 species